CCCAUUUACCUUGUUGUGUUGAUAUCUAUUUCUGCUCUGGCCUCAGUUUUGUGUCCUGUCACUAAUUCAUGAUUCACUGAAAUUCAGGUUCUAGGCCACCAGAAAUCUGCAGAUACCUCAGGGCAAAAGUCUGUUCCAAAUCUCUUUAACUCCUUGAAUUCUUUGUGAUUGAUUUCCAGGGAGUCUAUUAUUAUAACAGGUCAUCCAAGCAUUACAAAAAGUUGUCUUUUCUUUUUUGUCUACCUUUUUUAGGUGUGCUCCCCAAUAAUUUCUCAGAAACUACUUGGCUUAGAGCUCUCAAACACUCCCCAUGUCUCCUACUGUGUUGGAAACAGUGUACAAAUUCCUUAAUUUUCUAAGGGAUAUGACCUCAAACCUGUCUUUCAUGGCUUUAUUUCCCAUCAGAUGAUUUUCUUUUCCAUAUGGAAACUACUUUUUAAUUCUUCUAGACCCAUAUCAAUGUCAUUUGUUGGCAAUUAUUUCUUAAUUUCCCAGUCUGAACAAAAAACCAGUCUGUUCUAUAACAUGAGUAACAGGUUGUACUGAUAUCUUUACAACAGAGUUCAAUGUUUGACAAGGGAUGCAUUUAUGGCCACUUCUCCUGCUGGAUUUUGAGUUCACUUAGGCAAGAACUGUGCUUGACACGGAGUAGUCAUUCACUCAGUGCUUGUGGAAUGAAUCAGUGGAAUUUUGAAUCUCUCUCCUCAUUUAACAUAUAUUUUCUCC
rnacentral:lncRNA from 1 species